ACUUAAAUAAUUUAAAAAAAAAUAUUGAUUUGUGGAGUCAAAAAUAUGAAUUAUAAUCAUUUUAGGUU
rnacentral:tRNA from 1 species